CUCGACCUCAGAUCAGACAAGGCUACCCGCUGAAUUUAAGCAUAUUAAUAAGCGGAGGAAAAGAAACUAACAAGGAUUCCCCCAGUAACGGCGAGUGAAGCGGGAUGAGCUCAAAUUUAAAAUCUCCGUUGCUUGCAACGGCGAAUUGUAGUUUCGAGAAGCGCUUUCUCGGCGGACCGGCCGCGCCUAAGUUGCUUGGAACAGCACGUCAUAGAGGGUGACAACCCCGUCUGUGGCGUGUCCGGCCGCUCACGAUGUGCUUUCGAAGAGUCGGGUUGUUUGGGAAUGCAGCCCAAAAUGGGUGGUAAACUCCAUCUAAAGCUAAAUAUGGGCACGAGACCGAUAGCGAACAAGUACCGUGAGGGAAAGAUGAAAAGGACUUUGGAAAGAGAGUUAAAAAGUACGUGAAACCGUUAAAAGGGAAACGAAUGGAGCUAGCAAUGCACCCUGCGAGAUUCAGCCGGUGGGUGGUUCGGGCGCGCGGUUUGCAGAUCUGAAUUGACUGCGGCCGCGUGGUUUGGGCUCCCCGCCGUCGCACUUCUCGCGGGUGCGCGUCAACAUGGGUUGGGACCGGGUCUUAAAGGCGUCGGCAAGGUAGGUCCGUCCCUCCGGGGUCGGACUGUUUAGGCCGGCGUUCUCGCGGCUCGGGCCCGACCGAGGCGAUUGCAGCACAUGCCUCUUGUGGCUGGUGUCCCGUUCCUCCGGUUGGUUGUCGACCGUGGUGGACUGCUUGCAGUGCACCACGACUGCUGCCGGUCGCUGGGGCGGUGACUUCGCACGAUGUGCUUGGGAUGUUGGCGGUGAUAUGGCUUUAUCCGACCCGUCUUGAAACACGGACCAAGGAGUCUACCAUAUGCGCGAGUCUUUGGGUGAUUGAAACCCGCGGGCAGAAUGAAAGUGAAGACGGCCUCGGCCGUCGAGGUGAGAACCUCCCCUUACCGGGGUGGCGCAUCAUCGACCGACCUAUUCUACUCCUAGG
rnacentral:rRNA from 1 species